UCCCGUCAAUUCAUUUGAGUUUUAGCCUUGCGGCCGUACUCCCCAGGCGGAGUGCUUAGCGCGUUCGCUUCGGCACGGAUAGAUCUAACUCCACCCACACCCAGUACUCAUCGUUUACAGCGUGGACUACCGGGGUAUCUAAUCCCGUUCGCUCCCCACGCUUUCGCACCUGAGCGUCAGGCAAGCGCCAGGGUGUCGCUUUCGCCUCUGGUGUUCCUCCCGAUAUCUACGCAUUCCACCACUACACCGACAAUUCCACACCCCUCUCGCCCCCUCAAGCCUCACAGUCUUCAGUGCCCCCUCCCAGUUUAGCCGAGAGAUUUCACACCAAACUUAUCAGGCCGCCUGCGUGCGCUUUACGCCCAGUAAUUCCGGAUAACGCUCGCACCCUACGUAUUAC
rnacentral:misc_RNA from 1 species